rnacentral:lncRNA from 1 species
CCGCUUUCUCUGCUAGAGUCUUUGCAAUGGGAUAGUACAACUGCCACACAACACAACAAUGCAAAUUAGGUAGACCCCAACACCCCCAUCAAUAUAUUUGUCACAACAUUAGGUUCAUGUGAGUUAAAGGUAAAGAUAUUUUUCAUCAAAAUCAGAAGUGGAAAAUAAUUUGAAUAAGUUAAAGUUCAGUUUGUGAUCGUAAAUUCUCAACGUAUUAUAAGGUUUAGUGUAUGGUUGGAGUGCAUGGCAAACGGAAUUUGUGGAAGGAGAGAAAUAUUCAUUAUAAUAUGUUUGGUAUUCGAUUUUAGCCAUUCAAAAUUCGCUAGAAUGUUCACCACAUCCACCAUGUGAAAAAAUAUUUGUUUUUAUAUAAUUAAAAUUUAUAAUAUGUAUAUUAUAAUUAAGUUUAUAAUAAAUAAAUGUUUUUGAAUAUUUAAUCUCUAUUUUAGAUUGAAUAAUUUAAGUUAUGACAUAAAGUUAUUUAACUAUUAUUUUUUAAAAAAUAUUAUUAUAAUUAAAUUUAGAAAUAAAUAUAAAAUUGUUAGAUUGAAAAAGAGAAACAAGAAGAUUAAGUAUAUAUAUAAGAAGUGAUAAUUUCAAAUAGUUGGGAGAGAAAUAUUUCAGUAGUUGCGAUGUACCAUGUGAGAUACACCUCCAACACAGAAAAAAAGAUAAUGUCGAGAAUGUUUAAAUAAAAAAAAUUAUUUUUUUAAAUUUUGUAUUCUAAUUUAUAAUAUAAGAGUGUAUAUUAAAAACUUAUUUUAGGCUUUUUUCUUUCUUUCUUUUACACAACUCUCUUUAUGUUACUAAGUAAAUUUUAUGUAAAUCCUAUAUAAAGAAAAACUUAGGACACUUUUUUAAAGGGAGACUCAUAAAAUAAAUAAAAAAUGUAUGAGAAGUAUGUUGAAAAUUAAGUUAUUGAUAUUUCUUGAAAAAUCAUUAAUGUAUUAUUUUAGAAGAAUUAGAACUAAUAAUAGAUCAAUUAUUGAAUAAGGCCGGUAGGGUAAGUAACAUGAAUGGUGGAUCCCCCUGCCCCUUAAAUAUAUUAUUUAAUUGUCUUUUAGCCAAUGAUUUUUGCUACCAUUUUGUAAUAUACAAAUUAUUUAGAGUUAAAUAUAUUUUUAUUUCUUAUUUUUUUUCUUCAAAAUUCACUUUUAGUUUCUAAAUAAAAAAUUUAGCAUUUUGAUUUUUUAGUUAAUAUUGUCAUAUCAAUAUUAAUUAUUAGAAAAAUAAAAAUAAAAUAUUAAUUAAUAACGUAACAAUCAUAUUAAAAGUCAUGUGUAAUAUUAAUUGUGACAUUAUCAACUAAUUUAAUAUAUAAGAGAAAUAUAAUGAAAUAUUAUAAUAGAAGACAAGAAAAUAAUCCAAAAAAGUGGAUACAGAUGAGAAGAAGAAGCACUAACCCCCUUCUGUUUGCAGUAUUCAAGGUCUGUCCAACACUCUUCUGCCUUAAUCUUAUCAGCUGGCCAGUUAGGGCUUGGCAUAAUGGAUGAGAUCGACGAAGUCGCCACCACGCGCUCCACCCCCGCUUCCUUCGCCGCCUUCAACACAUUAACUGUUCCUUUUAUCGCCGGCUCCAGUAUCUGCUUCUGUAUUUCCUCUCACCCUCUCAGCAUUAAUUAAUGUAAGCAACAAAAUCUUUAUACACUCAUUUCAUUUGGACCAUACAUGAUGUAGUAGUGAAAGCACAAGAGAUGUAAGAGAAGUAAAUUUCAAUUGUAUAGAUAAAUGGUUAAAAAUAAAUUUAAUUAAAAUACUUUUAACCAUAAUAUAUAAUUGUAUAUGAUUAACAUAAGAUUAACCUUUUACUUCUCAGGCUGUCAUUAGAUAUAUAUUCUUUUAUUUAUAGGUUUAAUUACUCUCUUUAUAUCAGUACAAUUUUUAUAUUUUAAUUUUUACAUUCAAAAACUACUCAAUUUGAUUGUUAUAUAUAAAUAUUUUAUUUCACUUUAGUCGUUGAAACUAAAAUAAACUAAAACUAAAUAAAAAAUUUAUUUUUUGUGUAAUAAGAAAAUAUUUGGAGUUUCUUAUUUGAUACCCACGAAUAUCUCUCAUUGGAUCAAUACAUUUUGAAGUAAAGUAGUAGAGAAUAUAAUUAAUCAAACGUCAAACAUUGAUUAAGGGAUGCAAAUGUUAAAUUACUUGUGUUAAUAAGUUCCGUGGAUUAAAAAAACGUGCAUGGGUAAAGAUUAAAAUCAGUCAUGUUUAAGUGAAAGGAUUAAGAUAUAAAGAUUGUGUAGAUAUAUGAACUACACUAGUAAUUAGACCAUUUAUGGAUGUAUUGGAGUGUGUUAAGUGAUUUUUAAUUUUUUAACCUCAGGAUCUUCGACAUGACCGAUGAUGUUAGGACAUGCGAGGUGGAUUACGCCGGAGCAACCCUUUAUGGCAG